GUUUUUCUGCCUCUGUCCAUAAGGGAUAUUGACCUGUGAUUUUGUUUAUUUUUUCUUCUGAUGCUUUGUCUGAUUUUGGAAUUUGCAUAAAGCUCUGCCAGCAGCCUUCGUAUGAGAGGAAACUGAUGCUAGAAGAAACUGCAGCAUUCACUCCCCAAGGGCCAACAUCAAUUCUGCCUGGCUGGAUGACUUUCCUCAUCUGUUGCAUAGCAACCUCCCCUGUCAGCUGCCUGUUUUUCCUCAGCCCUUCCUCUGUACAGUGUCUGCAGUGGGAUGUAAUCAGACUCAAGAAAGGAGGUCUGAAAUAUCAUUUUUAUAUGCUACUUCCAAUUUUGUAUAUGCAAUCCUGACGACCUAAAACAUUUAGACCCAUAUCCACCUACCUGCCUCCAUGCUGUUGGAUAUUCCUUUAUACUCUGAAAAUGAAAAUGUCUCAGACUGAUCUUUUGUGUCAAAUCCCUCUAACAAAUAUCAUGUAUUUGUUCUCUUGACUUCUCCCAGACAUCAAAUACCAUCCAAGAGCAUUCAGAUCCUCAAGUCAGAAACUUACAAGUUGUCCAUCACCACUCCCUUUACCUCAUUUUUUUUUCCUGUAUCCAAAUUGCUACCAAAUCCUGAAUAUUCUACCUCAAAUUUAUACCAACAUCACUCCCUUUCCAUCAUCCAAGUUUAGGCCAUUAUUGUCUAGAACCUAGCCUACUGACUGUGUCUCUUAACUGCUCUCCGAGCUUCAAUUUUUCUUACUACAGUCAGUUCUACAGAGAGUUAUCUUAAAAUGGAAACGAAACCAUGACAUUUCCCUGUUUAAAUGUCCCA
rnacentral:lncRNA from 1 species